AGCGAACGCUGGCGGCAGGCUUAACACAUGCAAGUCGAGCGGGCCUUUCGGGGUCAGCGGCGGACGGGUGAGUAACGCGUGGGAACGUGCCCUCUGGUUCGGAAUAACUCAGGGAAACUUGAGCUAAUACCGGAUACGCCCUUUUGGGGAAAGGCUUGCUGCCGGAGGAUCGGCCCGCGUCUGAUUAGCUAGUUGGUGAGGUAACGGCUCACCAAGGCGACGAUCAGUAGCUGGUCUGAGAGGAUGAUCAGCCACACUGGGACUGAGACACGGCCCAGACUCCUACGGGAGGCAGCAGUAGGGAAUAUUGGACAAUGGGCGCAAGCCUGAUCCAGCCAUGCCGCGUGAGUGAUGAAGGCCUUAGGGUUGUAAAGCUCUUUUAUCCGGGACGAUAAUGACGGUACCGGAGGAAUAAGCCCCGGCUAACUUCGUG
rnacentral:rRNA from 1 species